GAUGAACGCUAGCGGCAGGCCUCAUACAUGCAAGUCGAGGGGCAACAUAGCACUUCGGUGCUGAUGGCGACCGGCGGACGGGUGUGUAACGCGUAUGCAAUCUGCCUUGUACUGGGGAAUAGCUUUUGGAAACGAAAAUUAAUACCCCAUAUUGUUAUAUGACCGCAUGGUUGUAUAAUGAAAGCUCCGGCGGUACAAGAUGAGCAUGCGUCCCAUUAGCUAGUUGGUAGGGUAAUGGCCUACCAAGGCGACGAUGGGUAGGGGUUCUGAGAGGAAGAUCCCCCACACUGGCACUGAGAUACGGGCCAG
rnacentral:rRNA from 1 species